UGUUGAGAAAAGCAAAAUUUUCCAAAGCCA
rnacentral:piRNA from 1 species